rnacentral:rRNA from 1 species
AUCCGGGUUGCGGACAGUGUCUGGUGGGUAGUUUGACUGGGGCGGUCUCCUCCUAAAGAGUAACGGAGGAGCACGAAGGUUGGCUAAUCCUGGUCGGACAUCAGGAGGUUAGUGCAAUGGCAUAAGCCAGCUUGACUGCGAGCGUGACGGCGCGAGCAGGUGCGAAAGCAGGUCAUAGUGAUCCGGUGGUUCUGAAUGGAAGGGCCAUCGCUCAACGGAUAAAAGGUACUCCGGGGAUAACAGGCUGAUACCGCCCAAGAGUUCAUAUCGACGGCGGUGUUUGGCACCUCGAUGUCGGCUCAUCACAUCCUGGGGCUGAAGUAGGUCCCAAGGGUAUGGCUGUUCGCCAUUUAAAGUGGUACGCGAGCUGGGUUUAGAACGUCGUGAGACAGUUCGGUCCCUAUCUGCCGUGGGCGCUGGAGAACUGAGGGGGGCUGCUCCUAGUACGAGAGGACCGGAGUGGACGCAUCACUGGUGUUCGGGUUGUCAUGCCAAU